GGCGGGGCGGGGCGGAGCGGGGCGGAGCGGGACCGUCAUGCCAGCGCUGCCCGGCGCCACCGCCAGUACCACGGCUGCUCGCCCCAUGGCGGCCCGCAGUAGCACCAUGACGGCCGGACGGGUCUACGACAUCGUGGUGUUCGGCGCCUCGGGCUUCACCGGCCAGUUCGUGGUGGAGGAGGUGGCGCGGGCGGCGGCGGCGACGGCUGCCGGCGAGGGGCAGCUGUGCAGCGGCCGCCUGCGCUGGGCCGUGGCCGGGCGGAGCCGCGAGAAGCUGCGGGCGGUGCUGGAGCGGGCGGCCGAGCGGCUGGGGAAGGCGGCGCCCGGGGAAGAGGUCGGCGUGGUGCUCUGCGAUGUGGGCGACGCGGGCUCGCUGGCCGCCAUGGCGAGGCAGACCCGGGUGGUGCUCAACUGCGUGGGCCCGUAUAGAUUCUUUGGAGAACCUGUGGUAGAAGCUUGUGUUGAAAAUGGUGCAAGCUGCAUUGACAUUAGUGGAGAACCCCAGUUCCUGGAAGGAAUGUACCUGAAAUACAAUGAAAGAGCUGCAGAAAAGGGAGUAUAUGUCAUUGGAAGCUGUGGCUUUGACUCCAUACCGGCCGAUAUGGGAGUACUGUACACCAGAGACAAGUUGAAAGGUACCUUAACUGCUGUUGAGAGUUUCCUGUCGGUGAAAUCUGGGCCUGAGGGUCUUGGUGUACAUGAUGGGACCUGGAAAUCAGCUGUCUAUGGCCUUGCAGAUGAAGCCAACCUGAAGAAGCUUCGAAAACAGAUAGGAUAUGCCCCUGUUCCAGUAGUUGGUGCAAAGCUUAAAAAAAGAGGAUUUAUGUUUUACAGUCCAGAAUUCAAGGAGUAUUGCAUUACAUUCAUGGGAUCUGAUGGUUCUGUUGUGAAAAGGACUCAGCGUUAUUUGUACACCGAGUUGCAGCAAACACCUGUCCAGUAUGGUGCUUACGUGACUGUAGGUGGUCUUGGCUCUGUUAUCAAGCUGAUGUUUCUGGGAAUGUUAUUUCUUCUUCUGGUGAAGUUUAACUUUGGAAGAAAACUUCUGACAAAAUACCCAGAAUUUUUCUCUGCUGGAUGCUUCACAAAGAAAGGACCAACCCAGAAGCAGAUGGAUGGAACCUCUUUUACAAUGACUUUUUUUGGUGAGGGUUACAGUGAGGGACAAGAUCUCCAGAAUGGCAAACCAAAUGUGAAAAUCUGCACUGAAGUGAAAGGACCAGAGCCUGGAUACAUUGCUACACCAAUUGCAAUGGUUCAAGCAGCUCUAUCUCUUCUGGAAGAUACAGCUUCUCUGCCUAAACGGGGUGGUGUAUAUUCUCCAGGAGCUGCCUUCUCAAAAACAAAACUGAUUGAUCGCCUCAACAAGCGUGGUGUUGAGUUCUCUGUUAUUAGCAAGCCUGAAGUCUGAAGUCGGAACGUAACUAACUGACCAUUUGCCACUGCCCAUGACCAGGAGCAGUUUUCCAGCACAAGAUUCUUUUGGGAGCUGGAGCGAUGCGUAUCUGAUCUCAGGAGGCUGGAUGCCACAAAAGAAGUAGAAGCUCUGCAUGGGGACUGCCAGCUCUCAUCCUGACCCACGGAGCCGGAAGGAACAGGAUGAACUACCAAAUCCAGCAACCUGUUAAAAUACACAUUUCAAACCAGGAACAUCAAUAAAUAAAUGAAAAAAAGCAUGCUAUGAUAGUCUCAAAUGCUGACAACAGGAACACUCAGUGAACAAGAAAUACAGGUGAACACUCACUGCUGGGGUGAUACAUUAGGCCCACAUGGAAGUGACAGGCAUUUAUUUUUGUUCGUCUGUCAAAGUCUGUACACCAAGAGCUUGGUGGUAGUCAAAGCUUUAGUUUCAGCGGUCUUAAACUUUGUAAGCACAUUUCUCAUCAUGUAAAUACAUGUAUUUGCCUAACUAAAAUUAUCAUAGCAGAAAAAUACGUUUCUCCAAAUACUCCUUAUGAUGAAUUGUGUCUCAAACAUUAUAUAUUUUAUGUGCAAAAAUGUAUUCACAUGUAUUCACUGUAUUCACAUGUACCUUCCCACCAAGACACUAACAUAAUUCAAACAGAUUUCUCUCCUCCUUUUUCUGUCUCCCAUCAAACACAUAGAACAAGGCUAAACUUUGUGAAAAGGCUGCUUACUUCUUAUAUUCUGAGAAAAUGGUUGUCUUGUUUCCUAGCCAUGCUUCUUUAAAUCUGGAUAGUACUUUAGUGAUUAAACUUGUUCUUAUAUGCACA